UACGGAGGGUGCGAGCGUUAUUCGGAAUCACUGGGCGUAAAGGGCACGUAGGCGGCCUGGUAAGUCAGGGGUGAAAUCCCACGGCUCAACCGUGGAAUUGCCUUUGAAACUGCUGGGCUUGGAUCCUGGAGAGGGUGGCGGAAUUCCUGGUGUAGGAGUGAAAUCCGUAGAUAUCAGGAGGAACACCGGUGGCGAAGGCGGCCGCCUGGACAGGUAUCGACGCUGAGGCGCGAAAGUGUGGGGAGCAAACAGG
rnacentral:rRNA from 1 species